CGUCAGGUCACGUGACCUCCGCCCCGGCAGCGAGGCGUCGGUGGGACGCCGGAGCCGAUCCAAACGAGAGGUGGAGGAGCAGGAACCUGGGUCUGACACGGUUAAAGUGUCUUAAGAUCAUGAGAGGAAAGGCAGUACAUGAAUACAUUUUGAUUAAGAAAGACGAGCACUGUUCGGAAAUGAUGGCAACAGAAAACAGGGAACUGAGGUGAGCUUCUCCGGUUCACUGUGAAGAGCUGUGAGAUGGAAGGUGCUUCACAAAUCUACUACUCCUAAUCAUCAUCAUCAUCAUCAUCAUCAUCAUAAUAAUACAGAAAUGCUUCUGAACAGCCCUUCAGACACAGCUCACACACAGUCAUUGUUGUGCCUACCCUGCUCAGACUUGGAGACGACCUUUGACAUCAUAGAGCGAAGCACAGGGGCGGGCAUGAUGGCCAGGAGCAUGGGUAUCCUGACUGAGAGAGAGAAACACGAAAAACAGGAAGUUCACCAGUGACACCACAACCCAACUUCUGCUUUCAUCUUCUUACGGUUUUCCUGAAACUUCGGUUUUAAAAAUAGUGAAGUGGUCUUGCAACGCUAUAAAAUAAAGCUCUAUUCUUGAAAAAUGACAAGGCAAGUUGCAUGCACAUAAUGUCGAAAUACAUGACUGCAUCCAAUUUAUUUCCAGGGCCUUCAGCUCCAAAUGAUCAAUAAAACUGUUCAUUGCUUUGUUUUACCAGCAAA